UACGUAGGGUGCGAGCGUUGUCCGGAAUUAUUGGGCGUAAAGAGCUCGUAGGCGGGUUGUUAAGUCAGGGGUGAAAUCCCGGAGCUCAACUCCGGAACUGCCUUUGAUACUGGCAAUCUAGAGACUGGAAGAGGUUAGUGGAAUUCCCAGUGUAGAGGUGAAAUUCGUAGAUAUUGGGAAGAACACCAGUGGCGAAGGCGGCUAACUGGUCCAGUACUGACGCUGAGGUGCGAAAGCGUGGGGAGCAAACAGG
rnacentral:rRNA from 1 species